rnacentral:rRNA from 1 species
GACGAACGCUGGCGGCGUGCCUAAUACAUGCAAGUAGAACGCAGUUGCGAACGGGUGAGUAACGCGUAGGUAACUGCCUCAUAGCGGGGGAUAACUAUUGGAAACGAUAGCUAAUACAGCAUACUGUGAGAAGGACCUGCGUUGUAUUAGCUAGGUGAUGAGGUAAAGGCUCACCAAGGCGACGAUAACUAGCCGACCUGAGAGGGGGAUCGGCGAAACUGGGACUGAGACACGGCCCAGACUUCUACGGGAGGCAGCAGGAGGGAAUCUUCGGCAAUGGACGGAAGUCUGACCGAGCAACGCCGCGUGAGUGAAGAAGGUUUUCGGAUCGUAAAGCUAUGUUGUUAGAGAAGCGUUAACUAACCAGAAAGGGACGGCUAACUACGUGCCAGCCGCCGCGGUAAUUC